AUUUAUAUAGUUUAAUAUAAAACAAUACAUUUUCAUUGUAUAAAUAAUAUAAUUUUAUUUAUAAAUA
rnacentral:tRNA from 1 species